rnacentral:misc_RNA from 1 species
UCCGGCUUAUCACCGGCAGUCCCUCUAGAGUGCCCAACUAAAUGAUGGCAACUAAAGGCGAGGGUUGCGCUCGUUGCGGGACUUAACCCAACAUCUCACGACACGAGCUGACGACAGCCAUGCAGCACCUGUCACCGGUCCAGCCGAACUGAAGGUCUCCAUCCCUGGAAACCGUCCUGCCAUGUCAAGGGCUGGUAAGGUUCUGCGCGUUGCUUCGAAUUGAACCACAUGCCCCACCGCUUGUGCGGGUCCCCGUCAAUUCCUUUGAGUUUUAACCUUGCGGCCGUACUCCCCAGGCGGUCGACUUCACGCGUUAGCUUCGUUACUGAGAGUGUCAAACCCCCAACAACCAGUCGACAUCGUUUAGGGCGUGGACUAC